rnacentral:misc_RNA from 1 species
ACCGCCCGGGCGGCAGUCCGC